UGAGGAAUAUUGGUCAAUGGACGAGAGUCUGAACCAGCCAAGUAGCGUGAAGGAUGACUGCCCUAUGGGUUGUAAACUUCUUUUAUACGGGAAUAAAGUUAGCCACGUGUGGCUUUUUGUAUGUACCGUAUGAAUAAGGAUCGGCUAACUCCGUGCCAGCAGCCGCGGUAAUACGGAGGAUCCGAGCGUUAUCCGGAUUUAUUGGGUUUAAAGGGAGCGUAGGCGGGUUGUUAAGUCAGUUGUGAAAGUUUGCGGCUCAACCGUAAAAUUGCAGUUGAUACUGGCGACCUUGAGUGCAACAGAGGUAGGCGGAAUUCGUGGUGUAGCGGUGAAAUGCUUAGAUAUCACGAAGAACUCCGAUUGCGAAGGCAGCUUACUGGAUUGUAACUGACGCUGAUGCUCGAAAGUGUGGGUAUCAAACAGGAUUAGAUACCCUGGUAGUCCACACAGUAAACGAUGAAUACUCGCUGUUGGCGAUAUACGGUCAGCGGCCAAGCGAAAGCAUUAAGUAUUCCACCUGGGGAGUACGCCGGCAACGGUGAAACUCAAAGGAAUUGACGGGGGCCCGCACAAGCGGAGGAACAUGUGGUUUAAUUCGAUGAUACGCGAGGAACCUUACCCGGGCUUAAAUUGCAACUGACUGAACCGGAAACGGUUCCUUCUUCGGACAGUUGUGAAGGUGCUGCAUGGUUGUCGUCAGCUCGUGCCGUGAGGUGUCGGCUUAAGUGCCAUAACGAGCGCAACCCUUAUCGAUAGUUACUAGCAGGUCAUGCUGAGGACUCUAUUGAGACUGCCGUCGUAAGAUGUGAGGAAGGUGGGGAUGACGUCAAAUCAGCACGGCCCUUACGUCCGGGGCUACACACGUGUUACAAUGGGGGGUACAGAAGGCAGCUACACGGCGACGUGGUGCUAAUCCCGAAAGCCUCUCUCAGUUCGGAUUGGAGUCUGCAACCCGACUCCAUGAAGCUGGAUUCGCUAGUAAUCGCGCAUCAGCCACGGCGCGGUGAAUACGUUCCCGGGCCUUGUACACAC
rnacentral:rRNA from 1 species